AUCUCAGGUGAUCUGCCCGCCUCGGCCUCCCAAAGUGCUGGGAUUACAGGCAUGAGCCCCUGCGCCUGGCCAAAAAAUUAUUUAAAAGACAUGACAAAAGGAGAGGAAACCUUUUAAAUUAGGGGCUGGCUCUUGAUUGAUUUAAUCUAAGGAAAGAAAUUGGAGACUAGCAAAAGCUGGAGUGAGCAAUGAGCUAAGAGUUAAAAAAAAAAAAAAUGUAAACACUUGAAAUUUUAACAUCCUAAAAGUGUUACUCAGUUUUUGUUCCCCAGCACAAUGGCAUUUUAGCUCUUCUGCUAGGGAUGAAGAUUGCAGACAGCAUCAGACCCUGGGGAAUGCAACGUCGGACCUGGAGGCCUUCUACCUGGCUAGCUGGAUGGGUUAUGGGGGUUCUGUGAACUUCGAUCCUCCCGCCUCAGCCUCCAGAGUAGAUGGGACAAUGGGCAUAUGCCACUAUGCCCUGGCUAAUUGUUUAUUUUUUUUGUAGAGAUGGGGAUCUUGCUAUGUUGCGCAGGCUGGUCCUGAACUUGUGGCCUCAAGUAAUCCUCCUGCCUCCAUCUCCCAAAGUGCUGGGAUUACAGGCACAAGCCACCGUGCCCGGCCAGUUUCCUCAUUUUUUAAAGUGGGGGCCCACCUCAUGGGUCUGCUGUGAGAAUUAAGUGAAAAAAUCAAUGCAAAGUCCUUUGGACAGUCUCUAGGCAAUAACUACUGUUAGUAUCUGAUCUGGAAUACGGAUUUGGGGGUUUUCGGCAUGGAGGUGCUCAGCAAAGCCCAUCAGUGUAUUUCAAGCCAUGGGAGUGGAUGAGAUGGCCCAGCACAGGCAGGAAGGAUGGACCCAGGGUGACUCCCAAGAACACUGAUGUUUAAUUGAUGGGCAGAAGAGGGGUGCAAAGAGCUGGUGAGGCAGAAGACAAACAGAGCACAGGUCAAGCAGCCGGGGCCAGAGAACAUUCCAGAAAAAGCAUACAACAGCGUUAAGGGCUGUAAGAUAAGAACGGUAAGAUAAGUGUAAGAUAAGGACGGAAAACACAUGGCUUGGGUUUAGCGACCAGGAGGGGCAGGGCACAGGGAGGGAGUUUCAGAGGGCUGCAGGACUGCGAGGAGUAGGUGGCCUGGGCUGGGUCUCCUCACAGCAGCAAAGCUCGGGGACAACAGAAAUCACGGCAGACAGCACUGUGAGCCGCGGUCUCAUCUCUGACUAGUCCACGAGAGCUGAGGCUUAGGGCAGGGCCUGCGACACAGCUAGAUGGUG
rnacentral:lncRNA from 10 species